GUGGGUGAAAUCAAUGUAAGAUCAACACUUUGGAACUGGAACCCAUAAAGUGGUGGGACAUAUAUUGAUUUUACCCAA
rnacentral:pre_miRNA from 1 species